ensembl:snRNA U6 U6 spliceosomal RNA
GUGCUCCCUUUGGCAGCAAAUAUACUAAAACUGGAACAAUACAGAGAAGAUUAGCAUUUCCAUUCCAUAGUUUUCUAUACAUUUAGAAUAAAUAUGCAAUUUU